rnacentral:rRNA from 1 species
AGUAACGCGUGAGGAACCUGCCUUUCAGUGGGGGACAACAGUUGGAAACGACUGCUAAUACCGCAUAACGUAUUUGUGUCGCAUGGCAUGGAUACCAAAGAUUUAUCGCUGAGAGAUGGCCUCGCGUCUGAUUAGCUAGUUGGUAGGGUAACGGCCUACCAAGGCGACGAUCAGUAGCCGGCCUGAGAGGGCGGACGGCCACACUGGGACUGAGACACGGCCCAGACUCCUACGGAAGGCAGCAG